rnacentral:rRNA from 1 species
UACGUAGGGUGCGAGCGUUGUCCGGAAUUACUGGGCGUAAAGAGCUCGUAGGUGGUUUGUUGCGUUGUUCGUGAAAACUCACAGCUUAACUGUGGGCGUGCGGGCGAUACGGGCAGACUGGAGUACUGCAGGGGAGACUGGAAUUCCUGGUGUAGCGGUGGAAUGCGCAGAUAUCAGGAGGAACACCGGUGGCGAAGGCGGGUCUCUGGGCAGUAACUGACGCUGAGGAGCGAAAGCGUGGGGAGCGAACAGG